rnacentral:lncRNA from 1 species
UUACACACUUGUACACUUCAACAAACACUUGUACGUAACAAAAACUUAACAAAACGCUUCAAAAAUACUGCACAAAGACUUAACAAAUACUAACACUUAACAAACAAUAAAACUUAAAUAUCACAUUUCACACUUAACACCUAAACACACAAACACUUUAACAGUACACACUUCAAACCACUUCACACUACACAUUUCACACUUAAACAAACAUUUUAACACUUCACGCUUAAAUAAACACUAACUUUUAACACCUUAACACAAACACUUCACAUUUCACAAACACUACCAUUUACCAAACACUACAACUUAAACAUUACACUUCACACAUAAGUACUUCACACCCUUAGAGCUUAAUACAGUUAAAAAAAACGUAACAAAUACUUUACAAACACUUAACAAACUAACACCUAAGCAUCACACUUCACACCUUUACACUUUCACACUUAAACACAUAACAACUUAACACACAAAUACACUCACACACUUCACACUUAAGAAACACUAACACUUAAAUAUCAUACUUAACACUGCACGCUUUCACAAAUAAAUACUUAAACACCCAAACACUUAACACCUAACUUCACAUACUUCACACGCCUCACUAUUCACACUUAACAAACAAUAACACUUAAACAUCAUACUUUACACUGCACAUUUUCACACGUAAAUACCUAAACACUUAACACCUUAAUACCUAAACACCUAACUUAACACUUCACACACUUCACAAACUUCACACUCUUCACACUUCACACACUUCACACUCUUCACAACUCCUAACUUCACACUCUUCACACUUCACACAUCACACUUCACACUCUUCGCACUCCGCACUCUUCGCACUCCGCACACUCCGCACUCCGCACUCCGCUCCGCACUCCGCACGCCGCACGCCUUUCUCUCUCCAAAGCACUCUUCACAACACCUAACUUCAUACUUCACACACUUUACACUCUUCACACUCCGCACUCCGCACUCCGCACUCCGCACUCCGCACUCUUCACACUCUUCACAACACCUAACUUCAUACUUCACACACUUUACACUCUUCACACUUCACACUUCACACACAUCACACACACUUCACACUUCACACUUCUCACUCUUUACACUUCACAUUUCACACUUUACACUCGUCACACUUCACAAUUCACAAUUGGCACUUCACACACUCGAACACUUCAUACUCGUCACACUUCACACUUCACACUAUUCACACUUCCCGCACUUUGCACAUUGUCACACUUUGUCACACUUCACAUUUGUCACACACUUCACACUUCACACAUUUCACACACUUCACACUUUACACUUCACACAACACACUUCACACUUUUCACACACUUCACAAUAAGCGCAAAACAAAAUACUUACAAAACACUUCUCAAAGACCUAACAAACAAUAACACUUAAAUAAACACUUAAAAAUCACACUUCACGCUUUACACCAAACCACCCAAACACACAAACACUUAACCACUUCAAACCACUUCACCCUUCAUACUACACACUUCACACUUUAAAACAAAUACUUAAGCAUUUCAUACUUAAAUAAAUACACUAACAUUUAACACCUAAACACAAACACACAAACACUUCACACUUAAACACUUAAUAGCUCACCACAAACACCUAAACACACAAACAAUUACACUUAACAAACAAUUACAAAACACUUCACCAACAGUUAACAAACACUAACACUUAAAAAUUACACAUCACACUUAAAAAAAACACUUUAACACUUUAACACUUAAACACACACUUUAACACUUAACACCUAAGCACACACUUUAGCACUUCACACUCAACACAUAAACACACACUUUAACACUUAACGCUUCAAUACCUAAACACCUAAAUACCUAAACACCCAAACACCUCAACACUAAUUGAUUUUAGAUGUACUAUUCCUAGAGAACUUAUAUUUAUAUUAUAAUAUAGGAAAGAGACUUAUUCAAGUAUAUAAUUUCUAUGAAUAAAAUUAUAUUUCAAAAACAUGUUUAAAUGCAAAACGAAAUUUAAAAAUUUAAAAAUUACAAAAAAUCAUUAUCCUGCCACGCACUCUAAUAUAUAGAAAUAAGAAGCUCUUUUACUUCAAUAAAAAUUAGAAAGCACCCGUCAAGUUUUGGCUUCCUCUUCAUCUACUACCAAUAUAUUGUUGUGUAGUGCCAACUGUGCUUCUUCUAUCUGCAAACAAAAGAGUGAUUUAUGAGAAAACAGAGAUCAACUGCAAAAUAAAGCUAGAGCACUCAAUUUGCAUCAUCAUAUGAAUUUAUAAAUCCAUAUGCUCUUACCAACUCAAUAUGAUAAUUAACCUAGAACCUUGAUAAAUGGCAUGGAUUCAAAAUCUCCUGCAAGCAUAAAAGCUGAUCGUAACAAACAGAAAAUUUUGAAAAUAAAUGUUACUGUCAUUUAUUGUAACUGUACCUAGAGUGUCAUCCAAUUCAAUGACACAUAUCUGUAGGUCCAGACAUGCCUUCCACUGGUAUCAUUGUUACGCGUCCAAUCCACUUUUGAAUAGCAUCUAUAACAUGAGGAACAAUCUAUAGGUAGCAACAUUACACAAAGGCUAUUGCAAGCCACAAUAGCUUAUGGGUACAACAGUUAUUAAAUAUCUGGAGAGUUUUUGUCAGAUAGUCUCCCCUUCUUUUCUUAUCUAUAACAUGCCAAACGGGAAAAAAAUUAUUAAAAAGAAAUCAGCUAGCUGAUUAUUCUUUUUGGUUUCUCCUAGUAGGAGACACAAAAAUAAUCAAAAGAGAUGUGCAAGUUAAUCUCACCUGGUAAAUUUUUCCAGUACUGAUAUUAUUGUCUCUUCUCAACUUGAUAUCCAGAAAAUUCAUAAUUUCUGAUGUCCAGGUUCACCUUUCAAACAACAGGAAAAAGUUAAUUAUGAUCAUAAAUUGGAAAAUUCACCUUUUGUAUAUAGAUUUCUCCGUAAUAUCAACAAAAAAAAAAAUUUUUUUUACUUUUACUUAAAAGAGGAGGAAGAAAGGAAGAGGAAGAGACCUAUUUGAUUAAAAUAACACGAAUACUAAAAAUCAACUACUAACUACUAACCACAAACUCUUAACCCUAACCAUAACCUUAACCAUAUACUAACCCUAACACUUCACAAACACUUAACAAACACUUCAAAAACACUAAACAAACAAUAAACACUUGAACAUUAUACGUAAACUUCAUACUUAAGUGUUUGUACAAAUACUUAAAAAACAAUUAACAAAUACUUUAACAAACACUUCACAAACACUUAACAAACACUAACAUUUAAGCAUCACACUUCACACUUAAACACUAAACACCUUAACACCUUAACACACAAACAUACUCACACGCUUCAAACUUAACAAACAUUAACACUUAAACAUUACACUUUAUACUUUCACACUUAAACAAUUAAACAUUUAACACUUAAACACAAAAAAAAAAAGUUACACACUUGUACACUUCAACAAACACUUAUACCUAACAAAAACUUAACAAAACACUUCAAAAAUACUGCACAAGGACUUAACAAAUACUAACACUUAACAAACAGUAACACUUAAAUAUCACACUUCACCCUUAACACCUAAACACACAAACACUUUAACAGUACACACUUCAAACCACUUCACACUUAAAUAAACAUUUUAACACUUCACACUUAAAUAAACACUUUAACUUUUAACACCUUAACACAAACACUUCACACUUCACAAACAGUACCAUAUACCAAACACUACAACUUAAACAUCACACUUCACACAUAAGUGCUUAACACCUUAAGAGCUUAAUACACUUAAAAAAAACGUAACAAAUACUUCACAAACACUUAACAAACAAACACCUAAGCAUCAAACUUCACACUUCACACCUUCACACUUAAACACUUAACACCCUAACACACAAAUACACUCACACACUUCACACUUAAAAAACACUAACACUUAAACAUCACACUUCACACUACACGCUUUCACACAUAAACACUUAAACACCUAAACAAUUAACACCUUAACACCUAACUUCACAUACUUCACACGCAUCACACACUUCACAUUUCACACUUAAGAAACAAUAACACUUAAACAUCACACUUCACACUGCACAUUUUCACACGUAAACACCUAAACACUUAACACCUUAACACCUAAACACCAAACUUAACACUUCACACACUUCAUAAACUUCACACUCUUCACACUCUUCACACUUCACACACUUCACACUCUUCACAACACCUAACUUCACACUUCACACACUUCACACUUCAUACUACACUUCACACACAAUUCACACACUCUUCGCACUUCACACACUCUUCGCACUUCACACUCGUCACACUUCACACUUCACACUUCACACUUCACACUCGUCACACUUCACACUCGUCACACUUCACAUUUCACACUCGUCACACUUCACACUUCACACUUCACACUCGUCACACUUCACACUCUUCACACAUCACACUUCAUACUUCACACAACACACACUUCACACUUCACACUCUUCAUACUCUUCACAACACCUAACUUCAUACUUCACACACUUCACACUCUUCACACACUUCACACAUCACACACUUCACACAACACUUCACACACAAUUCACACACACUUCACAUUUCUUACUUCUCACUCUUUGUACUUCACAUUUCACACUUCACACUCGUCACACUUCACACUCGUCACACUUCGCACUUCGCACUUCGCACUUCGCACACUUGAACACUUGAACACUUCACACUCUUCACACUUCACACUUCGCACUUCACACUUCGCACUUCACACACUUCACACUCUUUACACUUCCCCACUUCCCGCACUUCGCACUUUGUCACACUUUGUCACACUUCACAUUUGUCACACACUUCACACUUCACACACUUCACACUUCACAUAGCACACUUCAUACUUCACACUUUUCACACACUUCACAACAAGCGCUGAACAAAAUACUUGCAAAACACUUCAAAAACACUUCUCAAUGACUUAACAAACAAUAACACUUAAAAAUCACACUUCACUAUUUACACCAAAACACCCAAACACACAAACAUUUAACCACUUCAAACCACUUCACCCUUCAUACUACACACUUCACACUUUAAAACAAAUACUUAAGCAUUUCAUACAUAAAUAAAUACUUUAACAUUUAACGCCUGAACACAAACACACAAACACUUCACACUUAAACAUUUAAUAGCUUAACACAAACACCUUAAUACAUAAAUACACAAACACACAAACACUUCACAAGUAAAUAAACACUUCACAAACAAUUACACUUAACUAACAAUUACAAAACACUUCACCAACAGUUAACAAACACUAACACUUAAAAAUUACACUUCAUACUUGAAAAAAACACUUUAACACUUUAAUGCUUAAACACACACUUUAACACUUAACACUUAAGCACACACUUUAGCACUUCACACUCAACACAUAAACACACACUUUAACACUAAACACUUCAACACCUUAACACCUAAAUACCUAAACACCCAAACACCUCAACACUAAUUGAUUUUAGAUAUACUAUUCCUAGAGAACUUACAUUUAUAUUAUAAUAUAGGAAAGAGACUUAUUCAAGUAUAUAAUUUUUAUAAAUAAAAUUAUAUUUCAAAAACAUGUUUAAAUGCAAAACGAAAUUUAAAAAUUUUAAAAUUUAAAAAUUACAAAAAAUCAAUAUUAUGCCCCGCACUCUAAUAUAUAGAAGUAAGAAGCUCU